GAACUGCGCAUGCGAGGGAUCUAGGCUGCGCGCUCCUUAUGAGAAUCUAACGCCUGAUGACCUAUCACUGUCUCCCAUCACUCCCAGAUGGGACCGUCUAGUUGCAGGAAAACAAGCUCAGGGCUCCCACUGAUUCUACAUUAUGGAAAUUUCAUGAUCCGACUGGAAUCCAGGAAAAUCACAGCUGAAAUACAAAACAUCAGCCCUUAUCUCCAGCACUGUACAUGGCAGAAACUGCUUUUAUUCUAGAUGUCUAGAUCCAGAUCAACUGCAUGGGGUCCUACAGGAGAAGACCAAGAGACAGAGACAGAGACCAGGGAAAAUGACCGAUACCAUUCCUUCUCAGGGAUGCUACACACCCAUGGGGCAGAGGAUAAGAGGUUCCUGAAGGCAUCACCCCUCUGGCCAUGGCUGGUGUGCAGACAAAGCUGGAGAUUUGGAGUAGCCUGUUGUCCCACUGACUCUUAGACUGCCCCAGCUAAGAAGAACCAACUCCUCCUAUUACAGAUGAAAUAAACAAAGCUACUCAAGCUCUCUGGCAUCGCCCUGACGGUCAUCAUGUGCUUCACAUUUCCCUCCUGCCCCCCCUGAUUUUCUGGAAAAGGGAGAAAGUGUGUGAAAAAAAAUGGACAAUAACUUCUGUUAACUUUGUAGAUGUCUGGUUCCUCCAUAUGAGGCUGUGCUUGAAUCAAUUUUGGAGAGAGGGUUUCUAAAGUCUCUCUAGAUUCUAUUAAUUUUGAUAGAGACAAUAAAAGGCAGCAGGACCAACUCUGUGUGGUGGGAGAUCUAGCAACCAUUAUAGUCACAAUAGCCACCACUUACUGAACACCCACCAUGUGACAAAGAACAAAUGUGCAUGAAUUAUGUCACAUUUUUCACAAGCACCCCUUGAGUUGGGAGUUCACUCAUGAGGCAACUGAGGUUCAGGGAGAUGAAGUAACUCACCCUGUAGGUAGGAGGGCUGAGAUCUGGACGUAGAUCUUUCCUCCAAAGCUUUGUCUUUUUUUUUCUACUAUAGCACACCAAAGAGAGUUCUAGAAAAAAUGAGAAUAAGAAAUUUACCUGUAAUCCUUGCUCAAGAAACUGAAGCUCUGAGGCCACAUUGUUCCAGCCUUUUGCAGCUCCUGCAUGUGGAUACCAGCACCAGCAGCUCCCCGACCAGGGGCCCCAGCUAAGCCCUCCCAGAGGAUGAUCUUGGCUUUGUACAUGGGGUGUCAAUAUCCUGUGAGUCCAACAGAGGGAAGACAUAAGAAUAUGGUCACCCAGGUAAGUGGUGGAUAGCUGAGUGACUGUAUUCUUGCUCACCACCACCCCCAUCAGAGGGGGUGUCUUUGUUUCUAGUUGGGGGAAGCUUUGGUAGACUGUCAGUAAUUCCUCCCUGUGUCCCCCAUCCUGUGUCAGGUAACAGACAUUUGUCUUAAUGUAUUCACUGUGUCAUCAGAAGCCACUUCUUAUCCAUCCUUGUGAAUACUUGAUGAAUGAGGAGUCAAUGAUUAAAUGAAGGAAAGAAAAGAGACUGAAAAGGAGGUAUGAGAAUGGGAAAGACGAGUGGAAAGACGAGAUAGAUAUUGCCCUAAAGACACAGUAAGCCAUCAAAUAUCUGUUUUCUAGUCCCCUUCUGGGCCCUCUUGGAUUUUGAAAAAGGGAGGAAGAAAUUGGAAAAAUUACCAAUAACUUCUAUUGACUUUGUAGAUUCCUAGUUUCCCCACAUGUGGCUAUGCUUGAAUCAACUUGUAAAAGUCUCUUUAUAGUCUGUUGAUGUUCAUGCAGGCACUAAAAGGCCACGGUCGGCCUACUUAGAUGAUCCACUCCACCCUGGGCUCCGGAAGAUGUUCCAGGGCAUUUGCCUUUACUUGACCCUAUGCUGAGAAGCUACCAAUAUUUUUCUUUCCCCAAAUUGGUUUUAUUUGUACCCUUUAUAUAUUAAAUAUUAGAGUAUUGGCCAAGUUGAAGGAGUCUUCUUCUAUGGCUGGUUUCAAUAAACAUGGUGGAAUAAA
ensembl:lncRNA LINC03060 long intergenic non-protein coding RNA 3060